rnacentral:rRNA from 1 species
UACAGAGACUGCAAGCGUUAUUCGGAUUCACUGGGCGUAAAGGGUGCGCAGGCGGUCGGGUGUGUCAGAUGUGAAAUCCCGAGGCUCAACCUCGGAACUGCGUCUGAAACUACUCGACUAGAGUACUGGAGAGGGUAACGGAAUUCACGGUGUAGCAGUGAAAUGCGUAGAUAUCGUGAGGAACACCAGAGGCGAAGGCGGUUACCUGGACAGUUACUGACGCUCAGGCACGAAAGCGUGGGUAGCAAACAGG